rnacentral:tRNA from 1 species
UCCCUGGUGGCUCAGCUGGUAAAGAAUCUGCCUGCAAUGCAGGAGGCCCUGGGUCGAUUCCUGGGUUGGGAA